rnacentral:lncRNA from 1 species
UAUUGAUGUAGUUAAAAAAAACUGCAAGUUGGUGGAAAAGCGAUGUUUAUUAAAAAUUACACAAAUAUAAAAAAGGUAUUAAUCAGAUAGUUUCAUGAUAAAUUUUAUGCUUUCUAUCUGAAAAUCAAAGAUUGAUUUGAGUCCCGUUCCAAAUUUUUUUCAAGGACAACCGUGCAGACUCCAUCCUCCUUCAUUCUUUAUCUAGCAAUCGAUUUAAUAUCAAUUAUAUUAGGGGAUUAUCAUCUAUAUUCUAUAAUAUUGAGAUAUUAAACAGCGGCACCAUAGCGAAGUUCAUGAAUUGUUCAGACGGCUGGAAGACGAAGAAAUGGAUCUCGAUAGCUUAAUAGAUAUGAGACUCGGAAUUAAUUCUGCAUCUUCAAAAGGUUGAAGGAUAGGGACCUGCUAAAAACCUGGAGAUAUAGGACCCGGAUUGAAGAUAUUGGAGAUAUAGGAACCUAGAAGGUGCUCUUUACCACGCGGCCAUACGAUCGACCUCCACACCUCAAAAAUUUAUAUGAGAGGCUGGGUCUGGAUCAUCGAUCCUCAGCUGCUAGAGUCUGCUUGAUUCCAUCACGGGUGUAAGAAGCCAAUGGCUGAGUUUAAAAUGGCACUCCAGUUUUUGCUAACAAAAGAUUGACAAAAACUGGAGAGCCAUUUGGUUGUUUAUCAUAAAUGAUGGCUGAAAAUAGAACCUGACACAUGCUCCUACCUCCAUGGAGGGAUCAACCGAAAUGUAGAGGACGAGAAUAGAAGGGAGGACCACGGAUAUCACGAAUAAAUUUUCUGAUAUGUAAAACUCAGAAUUGAAUCCGGAUUCUCGACGAAAGCGAAGGAUUUCCCCGGAGCCAAAUCCAGCUGAUAUGAAAAGAUUAGAUUUUUUGCCAAAAAAUAAUAUUAUUUUCUACUCUGUUGAGUACUAAUUGGCAGAACAAAACAAGCAGUGCCAUAGGAUGUCAUUCUUGUAGAGAAAUCAACCAGAAUGUAAAGGACGUGAUCAGAAAGUUUAUAAUAGGGGUAUAUUUUUAGCAAUGACCACUUGAGAGCCCACUAGGAGUUGGUAAACGCUCGUGAUGGGAUUAACCGGAAAAUUGAAGAAUAGGUUUAACAGCAGAAUUCCGCCCUUUAUGAAAAAAUAUGAAGGUUUGAACCUUGAUCUUCUAGAUGCUACUAUGAGGAAAGACUAUAUAUUGAACUAUAUAUAUUCAAAACUAGAGCGUAUAAUAUUAUCCGUAUCCUAUACUCUGCUAAUCUCUUGCGAUCGACUAGAUAACAUUUUCAAUGAAAAAAACUGGAGAAAGAUGAGACAG